rnacentral:rRNA from 1 species
AACGAACGCUGGCGGCAUGCCUAACACAUGCAAGUCGAACGAGACCUCCGGGCCUAUUGGCGCACGGCUGCGUAAGGCGUGGGAACCUGCCCUUAGGUUCCGAAUAACUCCCCGAAAGGGGUGCUAAUACCGGAUAAUGUCUUCGGACCAAAGAUGUAUUGCGUUUGGAUGGGCCCUCGUUGGAUUCGCUGGUUGGUAGGGUAAUAGCCUACCAAGGGGGGGAUGCAUAGCUGGUCUGUGAGGAGGAGCAGCCACACUGGGACUAAGACACGGACCAGAAUCGUACGGAAGGGAGCAGAGGAGAAUAUAGGACGAUGGAGGAAGGGCUGAUCCAGCCGUGCCGGGUAAGAGAUGAAGGGCUUAGGGUUGUAAAGCUCUUUUACCCGGGAUGAUAAUGACGGUACCGGGAGAAUAAGCACCGGCUAACUACGUG